GAGUGGCGGACGGGUGAGUAAUGCUUGGGAACUUGCCUUUGCGAGGGGGAUAACAGUUGGAAACGACUGCUAAUACCGCAUAAUGUCUUCGGACCAAACGGGGCUUCGGCUCCGGCGCAAAGAGAGGCCCAAGUGAGAUUAGCUAGUUGGUAAGGUAACGGCUUACCAAGGCGACGAUCUCUAGCUGUUCUGAGAGGAAGAUCAGCCACACUGGGACUGAGACACGGCCCAGACUCCUACGGGAGGCAGCAGUGGGGAAUAUUGCACAAUGGGGGAAACCCUGAUGCAGCCAUGCCGCGUGUGUGAAGAAGGCCUUCGGGUUGUAAAGCACUUUCAGUUGUGAGGAAAAGUUAGUAGUUAAUACCUGCUAGCCGUGACGUUAACAACAGAAGAAGCACCGGCUAACUCCGUGCCAGCAGCCGCGGUAAUACGGAGGGUGCGAGCGUUAAUCGGAAUUACUGGGCGUAAAGCGCACGCAGGCGGUUUGUUAAGCUAGAUGUGAAAGCCCCGGGCUCAACCUGGGAUGGUCAUUUAGAACUGGCAGACUAGAGUCUUGGAGAGGGGAGUGGAAUUCCAGGUGUAGCGGUGAAAUGCGUAGAUAUCUGGAGGAACAUCAGUGGCGAAGGCGACUCCCUGGCCAAAGACUGACGCUCAUGUGCGAAAGUGUGGGUAGCGAACAGGAUUAGAUACCCUGGUAGUCCACACCGUAAACGCUGUCUACUAGCUGUGUGUGCCUUUAAGGCGUGCGUAGCGAAGCUAACGCGCUAAGUAGACCGCCUGGGGAGUACGGCCGCAAGGUUAAAACUCAAAUGAAUUGACGGGGGCCCGCACAAGCGGUGGAGCAUGUGGUUUAAUUCGAUGCAACGCGAAGAACCUUACCUACACUUGACAUGCUGAGAAGUUACUAGAGAUAGUUUCGUGCCCUUCGGGGAACU
rnacentral:rRNA from 1 species